GCAGCCAAUGGUGCGGGCGGAGGGGGGCGCGUCGCGCCUUCCCGUGGUGCCCCACGACGAGCGGCGGCAGGAGCGGCCGCGACUCCAUCCGGGUCCCGGCGCGGCUCCGGGUCACCCUGCCGCAGGAAAUGUGAGGAUGAAAACCACUAGUAUGGCGCAGGAGGGUGAUGACUGUGCAGACUCCGUCCCUCCCUGCCACAGCAUGGCCCUACUCACAGCAUGGCCCUACUGGCACCAUCCCCUUGGGCACUGCUUCUGUGCCCUACAAAGGAAGCCGAGAUCAGACAGCUCCUGUUAGUGCUGCCUGCCCGCUACCCAGCGAAGUGGUCUGCGCCCAAGCGGGAUGGAAAACAGAGCUCACCCAGCAAAUCAGCAGGAGCAGCCAAGCCCAGGCCUUGCAGCCCAUGCUGAUGAGGAACACACGACCAGCUCACAGUGGGGUGAGCCGAAGCACUGCUCUUCCUGCUCUCCUCCCAGCCCAGCUGACCGCCUGCCAGCAGCAAGCUUGAGACAGCCCUGGAAAGCAAAAGUGCUCUGCCGAGGGGGACACAGCCUGGAGAGGGUGCUUCCCGGCACUGCUCCCUCUCUCUCUCAGAUGUUGAGGGCUCGAACUUGCAGUUACCACAAAGUUCUUGUGCCCUUUGCAACAGAAAGCCAAUUU